rnacentral:rRNA from 2 species
CUGUAGGGCCCCUCUGCCUAAUACAUGCAAGUCGAGCGAACUGAUUAGAAGCUUGCUUCUAUGACGUUAGCGGCGGACGGGUGAGUAACACGUGGGCAACCUGCCUGUAAGACUGGGAUAACUUCGGGAAACCGAAGCUAAUACCGGAUAGGAUCUUCUCCUUCAUGGGAGAUGAUUGAAAGAUGGUUUCGGCUAUCACUUACAGAUGGGCCCGCGGUGCAUUAGCUAGUUGGUGAGGUAACGGCUCACCAAGGCAACGAUGCAUAGCCGACCUGAGAGGGUGAUCGGCCACACUGGGACUGAGACACGGCCCAGACUCCUACGGGAGGCAGCAGUAGGGAAUCUUCCGCAAUGGACGAAAGUCUGACGGAGCAACGCCGCGUGAGUGAUGAAGGCUUUCGGGUCGUAAAACUCUGUUGUUAGGGAAGAACAAGUACAAGAGUAACUGCUUGUACCUUGACGGUACCUAACCAGAAAGCCACGGCUAACUACGUGCCACC